UUUGGACCAGGAUUAGAUACCCUGUUACUUCCAAUAUGAAGUUUUGAAGUAUUAAAGUUUUAGAAAUUAAGCGGAUUUGGCGGCAAGAUAGCCCAUUUAGAGGAACCUGCCCUGUAAAUGAUGAUCCACGAGGGACUUUACUUUCUUUGGUAAACAGUUUGUAUACCGCUGUUGUCAGUCAGUUUUAGUAGGGAACUUUCUAUAAUGGAAAAUCCAUUGACUUCAAGUAAAGGUGCAGCUUAUAGGAAAGAUAGAGGUGGGUUACAAUUUUUUGAGAAACUACGGAUAAUAUAAUGAAAAUUUAUUUGAAGGUGGAUUUAAUUGUAAAGUUUAUAAUAGCUUGAUAAGAGCACUAACUUGUGUACACACCGCCCGUCGCUCUCUUUAUAAAA
rnacentral:rRNA from 1 species